rnacentral:lncRNA from 1 species
UGUAAUCGAUCUUUUUUUUCUCGGUCGCCGGAGCAGUUGAAACCCAUUGCGGUUUUUAUUUAAAAUUCCAUAUCCCGUCGGUAUGUGUCUCUAUUUUGACCUCAUUUUCGGUUUUUUAUCAUGUCAUUCUAUUGUCGUCUCCUCCUUUAUCUUAUCGUCUUCUCCUACUGGUUAUAUCCUGUCGCGUAAAAUUUCUUGGAUGAAGUGCUUCCCUUUACGUGGUGACACCCGUGUUCAUCAAAUUCCUUAAACCGUCGGGAACGUGGGGAGAAGGUGUUGACAACACAAGUAUCGGGAGCGUUGGGAGACAAAAUCGCCCAUGGAAUCUCCAGAGACAGUCGUGAGCGUGGAGAGAGAACGAGAGAGUAAGAAUUGUGGUGUGAAAAACAAAAAAUAACUUUUAGAGAGUAAGAGAGUGGCAGUUGUCAACCUCAACAUUUAACCAAAAAAUUAGUAAUAAAAGUACACCUUACAACUUUUCAUCUCACAAAUUAUCCAUUUUCAUCUAAUUAUCUGAUGGACAGUCCACAAUCAUCCUUUCAGAUCGGACGCUUCAGAUUGCUGAGGGCUUUUGAACUCUUUUAAGAAGAGCUCUUUGGAUUUUUAUUCUUAUAAUUCAUGUAUGAAUGAAUCUUACUAUAUUACAUAUGUAUUAAAUUAUGAAUAUAAUGCCCGUUUCUUUGCGGUCAUCUAUAGCAGAAACACCCAGCGGAUGCACACCCAAUUGUCAAUCCGACGGUAGACCUCACCGCACACCAGCGGGGGGAUGCAUGACAGACACGGGUGUGCUACAUGCCGAACGUGG